GCCUGGAUAGCUCAAUCGGUAGAGCAUCAGACUUUUAAUCUGAGGGUUCAGGGUUCAAGUCCCUGUUCAGGCA
rnacentral:tRNA from 1 species